rnacentral:rRNA from 1 species
AGUGAACGCUGGCGGUAGGCCUAACACAUGCAAGUCGAACGGCAGCACAGUAAGAGCUUGCUCUUACGGGUGGCGAGUGGCGGACGGGUGAGGAAUACAUCGGAAUCUACUUUUUCGUGGGGGAUAACGUAGGGAAACUUACGCUAAUACCGCAUACGACCUACGGGUGAAAGCAGGGGAUCUUCGGACCUUGCGCGAUUGAAUGAGCCGAUGUCGGUUUAGCUAGUUGGCGGGGUAGAGGCCCACCAAGGCGACGAUCCGUAGCUGGUCUGAGUGGAUGAUGAGCUUCACUAGAAGUAUAACACGCUCCAGAAUCCUACUGUAGGCAGCGGUUGUGAAUAUUGGACAAUGGGCGCAAGUCUGAUCCAGCCUUACCGCGUGGGUGUAGAGGGCUUUAGGGUUGUAAAGCCCUUUUGUUGUGAAAGAAAUGCAUCUGUUUAAUACCCCGCUGUUCUGACGGUACCCAAAGAAUAAGCACCGGCUAACUUCGUG